GCGAUUGCCUUUGGCGCGGCCUGACCCUAUAUCUUGCCUGUCGGGCAACCGACUAUGGCGAUACACGGCUUAUGGAAUAAGCGUUGCGGACCCGGGGGCGGUACCCGGCGCCUCCACCAAUUCGCCGGCUGCCGCGCAGGAUCGACAGCCGGCCUCAUGGGGGCGAAACAGGUUCGACGCGCGUGGUAAAGAUAAGUCCGUCGCCCGGCAUGAUACCGCCGUUAUCGGGUCAAAACUUAACUGCGAACGAUAACUUCGCAACUGAGGCUCUUGCCGCCUAACCCUUCACAGGGUGAAGCUUAGCAAGUAACUCGCGGUCCGAGGGGCACCGGGCAACAGAAGCCCCUCACU
rnacentral:tmRNA from 1 species